rnacentral:misc_RNA from 1 species
ACCAAUAAUAAAAAUACACACUAGUAAUUUUAUUAAAAGAUAUAAAAUCGUAAUAAACUUAAAAAGAAAUGCUACUGCAACACCAUUUAUGAUAAAAUUACUGGGUGGUUUUAUUAUUGGUUGGGAGCACCAUCUCUUCUUUUUUUUUUUUUAAAAAAAGCUCUCAAUGAAAUGUACAUCUUAUGCAAUGUAAUUUUAUUUUAUUUUUUAAUCAAAGCUGAGGGCCGCCUGAGGCAAUGUAUUCACUACAAAGAAAAUUCCAAUUGACGCAUGUGUUGAUAUUGUGG